AUUUACAACCUCUAAUAUUAAAUAAAAAUUUCCACAAGGAAAGGUAUUCUACUUUUUUUUAAAGAAAAAAUAAUUUUAAAAGAUAAAAAAUGAAAGUUUAAAAGUAGAUAGCCGACAAUCUUUAAAAAAAAAAAAAAAAAAAAAAAGAAAAAAAAAGGAUAAUCCACUCACUUCUAAAACAAAAUAAUAACAAUAAAUUAGUACUUUUGUUAAAUUAUCAGUGACAUGAAUUUCAGAGAAUCAAAGAUCAAUGCACUCUUUUGUCACUCAAAAAGAAUAGAUAAUUACUCAAUGAUGGUAUAAUAUUAAAUUAGAAUGGCUAUUUUCAAAGACAAGAAAACUAGAGUCUUUUGAAACAUAUGUCUAAAGUAAAUCUGCAUUUAUAAAGCUUAUCCAUAAGAUAUUAUUAAAUCUAUCUUUAUUUAGCUUCUAUUCAUUACUUCUUAUACAGAUAAUUACAUAUAUCUAUGACAAUAAUAUAACAAUUUAUAUUUGACUAUUUUAGUAUAUCCAUCAAAUACU
rnacentral:lncRNA from 1 species